AGUCAAGUUUUGGACACCUCUCGACAUCAUCCUCUACUCGAUCCUCCCCACGAUGUGUGAUUUGUGGUGGUUCUCAUUGGGCACGACGUUGCGUGCAACGGGAAGGAAAGUGCACUCGAUGUGGACAACCGGAACACCCAGGUUAUGAGUGCUUGCAAAGUGAUAGUAUGUGGGCGACGCCUUUUUCCUCCCCGGGACAACUUGCAGGUGUGCCACCUGCGGCACGGUCUGGAGAGCGAUUGAGGAUAAGGCAACCGAGGGGUUCGCGACGGGCAGCAAGUGGCCGUGAAUAGGCGACCCAUGUGGUGGAACCUGCUGCGACUGGUCGUAAUGUGGCAGGUAUGAGUUAGUUAAAGCAAGCAUGUAUUGCAAUAUGAUGUAAAUUGGUUCAUUGCAUGCAUUAAUGAUCUAGUCUGUUACUACUAUUUGUGCACGAGUAUAGUAGUGAUCAAGUGAAUGGAUAAGGGUAAAGACCCGAACAUGCUUGUGUUGUGGAUGCGUAGUACCUGCUGGAACAGGUAGGAGGCCAAAUGGCACUAGCAAAUCGCUGGUGAGAGCCUGUGAAUAAGAAGUGAGACUCGGAGUGCUUGACCAACUCUCAAAAUUAAUGCGAGUUGCUGAUUGCGAGAGGCUAGUCGCGACGUUCGUGGAACUCGUGUAGGAACGAGCAUUUUAUAGGUUGUUCUAUUAGAUUGGACAGUGAAAGUAAAAUCACUAUUAUGUCUAAUACACGCACGUGGACCUAGUAGUGCCUCAAAUUGAGGUAGGUAGGUCGUGCUCGUGUAGUCGAUAUACAUAGGCAAGAAUUGCCUAAUGCUGGGCUUAGUGUGACACGCGAUAGUGGUGUAUAGAGCGCUCGAGUAUAGGUACUCGUAUUAUGCGUAUUCGAUUCAGCCGUGAGUGUGUUGGCAGUAGCACUUUAGCAUUGCUAAGUGUGAAGCGUGCCAGAGGUCACUCGUAGGGCUGGUGGCUCGCACUAGAUGCUUAGGAGCCGAUAGAGUGGGUGACUUGGUAGAGUGUGUCGGGUAGGAUGACGUUUGCGGGUAGUGCUUGAGGACGAUCCGUGCCUGGACCACUUGUGGACUGUGGAGCCUGGAGCCACUGGGUAGGCGCAGUCAGCUGUGAGAGACAGCGACUCGAUACCUGCAGGUAGGGCGGAGAGUUUUGGUCAGGACGGUAGUCCGAGCAUCGACCCGAGUACGUGGAAUGCCACGUGUGGGAUCAUGAAAUCGGUGAUGCACUGAGGGUGCGGUUGUGACCCAAUUCGGGGACUUGGCGUGAUUUGGGGGCUUGGUUGCUCCCAGUUGGAGCAGGUAGACGAUAUCUCAAGUGAGAACUGUGUCUCGUGGUAAUUGGUCUACGCUUGCGAGCGAGAGACGUUAAGUUAAGUGAUGGGCCUAGCAAAUCGUCGAUCCGAUUUGCGAACAGAUCUGUGGUAAUUGAGACAAGUAGUUACCCGUGUGCGUUGUAAGUGAAUAUUUCGAACGUGUCCCAGUGAAGGAGAGUGUAUAGGGACCGUGAGAGCGAAGGCUCAAUCCUGUGGAUUGUUUAGUGAGAAUUGCUAAGACAAGCAUCGAUGACGAGCUGAGAUUGGAAACGCGAACAAAGUGUUUGUAGAGACUGAUUCGGAGGAAUCAGGGUAGCAUAGACUGAAAAGUCAGAAGCUACGGAAUGAUACGAUUCUACGUGUUGAUGAUUGUUGGAGCUUAUCUCCAUCCGUUGAGUAAUUAAAGAGUAAUAAGUAUUUAAGUUUCGCGGACGAAACUUUUGUUAACGGGGGGAGAUUGUAAUACAUGGCAUCCUGGAGUUGCGAUGUCAACUUUGUUAUCGAGGAUCAAAGAGAAGCUAGAGCUGGUUUUGUAUCAUCCCCGAGGGAUUUUAGAUGUGUGGGAAUGAGUUUCAAAGAGAAAUAAGUGUUUCGGCGCAAAUUGGGCGCGAAACGAAAUGUAAAGAGCUUUCGGAUUUCCGACGCUAACUUUGAUUAAAAGAAUUAAAGUGAGGCGUGAGGAUAAAUUGUGGUAUCUCCGAAUCAAUUGUGAAGUUUUGGAAAAGCCAAGGGUGUGUUUUCAAAGGGUUUUGAAGUGUUCAGUGCGACGUGGUAGUGCAAAAAGGAGAAAUUGCUGCCAUGUAAUGGAAUUGGAGCUGAUUCUAUUACUAAUUCGGCUCAAAUAAUGUCAAAAUGAAAAGGAAUUGCUCCCAAAUUAAAUUAGUAGCUUGUGAAGGUCCCUUGGUAUCUUCUGGAAGUGUUUGGAUGAAAUCGGAGUGAAGACAGAAAAGUUAGAAUUUUCUGUAAAGGACGGGGCUGAGAAAAUAGCAGAAAAAUGCAGUGUUAGAAAAUUAUGAAAAUUGGCAGAGAUGUCAGGAACACUGUUAUGAGGCUAGCUUUGAAGUUUCAUAUUAUUCUGACACCUGUAGAGAGAGAAAUGGCAUCUGAAAGUUAUCUGAUAAAGAUUACAGUUCGGGACAGUUCGCACUGACCAAACGGGGUCGAAACUGAAAUGUUAAAAUUUCAGAGGACUUGUUAAGGAAAACCGAGCAUGCCUGCCAAAUUUGAGCUCAAUCGGACUGUCGGAAGGGCUUACGAAAGGUAUUUGAUCCGUGUCGCUAUAUGGACUUAAGUCGAGGGGCAUUAUGGUAAUUAACCCUCUUCAUGCUGCAUACGUAGAGAGAGAGAAGGAGAAAAGAAGAGAAAAGAAAAGAAGAGAAAAGAGAAGAAGAAGAAGAAAAAAAAGAAUAUAAGAGGUGAGUUUUCUACCUCUCCCUGUCAGAUGACAGGGAGUUCUCCCUCCCUCUCAUCUCUCUCCCUGCUGCUACUGGUUGUAGCAGCAGCAGCAAUAGGAGCUUGAGCAGCAGCAGGCAGCUCAGCAGCAGCAGUCUCAGCAGCAGUGAGCAGCAGCAGCAGCCUAGCUGCUGUCAGCAGCAGCAGCAAGCAGCUCAGCAACAGCAGCUUCAGCAGCAGCAGCUGCGCAGCAGCUCAGCAGUAGCAGUAGCAGUAAUAACAGCAGCAGCAGCUUCAGCUUCAGCAGCUCAGCAGCUGCUGUCAGCAGCAGCAGCCUGCGCACAGCAGCAGCAGCUCAGCAGGAGCUGCUGAGCAGCUUCAGCUUCAGCAGCAGCAGCAGCAGGAGCAUCAGCAGCAGCAGUCAGCAACUGCAGCUUCAGCAGCAGAGCCUGCGCAGCAGCAGUAGGAGCUUCAGCAGCAGCAGCAGCAGCUUGCGCAGCAGCAGCAGCAGCAAUUCAGCAGCAGCAGCAGCUCAGCAGAAGCAGCAGCAGUCAGCAGCAGCUGCAGCUUCAGCAGGAGCAGUAGCAGCAGCAGCUUCAGCAGGAACAACAGUAGAAGCCUGCUGCUGCAGGGAAAGAAAAAGAAAGAAAAGAAAAGGAAGAAAGAAAGAAAGAAAGCAAGGAAGAAAGAAAGAAAGAAAAGAAAGAAUAAGAGGAAAAAAUGAAAGAAAAGAAGGAAUUGAAUUGUGAAAUUGUAUCGAAAAGGAUUUUUAUAGAAACUGACCUUGAUAAUGCACUUUUGCAGGAUAGAAGUCCUAACGUGAAAUUGACCGCGUACAAACCUAAUUGAGGGUAAAACAAACGCGUUGGCGAAGUCGGUUCGGCAAUCCGUCGAGCCUACGCGAAGAUAUCGCCAAAAGAACAUUUUCGGCGAUAAGUGUCGGGAGCGCGGGUCGCGAUUCGUGGAAAAGUGCGAGAAGUGGAUUUCUCUCAUUCUAGUACCAAGUAAAGGUGGGUUGUGCUUUACCGAAGUGAUUAGGUCACUUCCAUGCCAAAGUAAAAUAUGGUUUCAUUUGACGCAUAUAUGACUAUGAUUGUCGACAUAUGGACAUAAUGCUAAUAUAUAUGUAUAUGAAUAGGCAUACAUGAUUAAUGAUAUAUGAAUGCAUUAUGAUCAAUGCUAGAUGAUGUAUAAUGAUAAUCCGAUGAUGAACAUGCUAGAGGCAUAUGAAUAUGUUGUAGAUCAUGCUAGACACAUAUUAUUGUCGAUAUGUGAACGUGAAAGUUAAAUGCAUAAUUAUGCUAAAUUCAUAUGUUCGAAUACAUGAUAUAUCAAUGUUGAACCUGUAAAUGCCAAGGGCACGUAAGCUGAAUACGAAUUGUGAACAUAGAAGCUAAAGUCUACAUAAGUGUUGCCACGUAAAAGUGGAAGUUUAAUGCCUAUGUCUAAACAUAUGUAUAAGUGAAUGUAUUAUAGUUCAAGCUAUAUGAAUGUCGAUAAUUCUAAUUGACUGGAAACCUCGAUGGUAACAAGAUGAGUGAGAAUAUGAAAACUAUGAACCUCAUGUUAAAUCCCUAAGAAUUGGGUAUAAAUCGACAUCUCCAAUUGAGUAGAAAUUUGGACGGUAACAAAGUAAAUGAAAAUGUGCAAAUUAUAACCCUAGUUGUGGAUAACUAGAAUGAUGAAUAGAUCGAGUGGCAUGAACCUAGUGUUAUUAAACAUAGGUUGGACAUGAAAUGAACCUAGUGUUAUUGAACCUAGGUCGGACAUUAACCUAGUGUCAUUGGACAUAGGUCAAGCAAGUAAACCUAGAGUUGAGAUCUAGGAGAGAGAAUAUUAAACCUAGUGGAAAUAAACCUAGGUUAUGAUGUAAAGAAACACUCAGUAAAAGUAAACUAAGUUAUGAAUUAUAGUGGUAAUAGGACCACUAGAAAGUGAAUAGUAUAGACCUAGAAAGGUCGUCAACAUAGGGUAAAAGAGUAAAACCCUUAAAUUGUGAAAAUGGAUUCCGGAAUCCCUAGGAAUGGUGUGAUGGCAAAAAUAGAAUCUUAACUACGGGAUCGACGGUUCUCCUCUCUCGGUAGUGAUUCAACGGGAUUGACGGUUCUCCUCUCCCGGUAUGCCAUGAAACAAGUGAAUUGGAACUACGGGGAUCGACGGUUCUCCUCUCCCGGUAGUGAUUCAACGCGAUCGACGGUUCUCCUCUCCCGGUAUGAGCUAACGGGUUUGACGGUUCUCCUCGCCCGUUAAGCUUGAGCGACUUAGGGUCACAGGGAUCGACGGUUCUCCUCUCCCUGUGAUGGACCUAGUGUCGCGUGGACUUAAGGCUGAGGUGCUUGUGAGACGUCCUUCACCUCGAGCCUGACUUGACGCGGU
rnacentral:lncRNA from 1 species